CCUACGGGAGGCAGCAGUGGGGGAUAUUGCACAAUGGGGGAAACCCUGAUGCAGCGACGCCGCGUGUGGGAAGACGGUCCUCUGAAUUGUAAACCACUGUCCCCAGGGACGAAGAUGACGGUACCUGGGGAGGAAGCUCCGGCUAACUACGUACCAGCAGCCGCGGUAAUACGUAGGGACCGAGCGUUUUCCGGAAUUACUGGGGUUACAGGGAUCGUAGGCGGGGAUGCAAGUUGGGUGUCAAAACUACCGGCUAAACUGGUAGUCGCACUCAAAACUGCAGCUCUUGAGUGAAGUAGAGGCAGGCGGAAUUCCUAGUGUAGCGGUGAAAUGCGUAGAUAUUAGGAGGAACACCAGUGGCGAAGGCGGCCUGCUGGGCUUUUACUGACGCUGAGGCUCGAAAGUGUGGGGAGCAAACAGGAUUAGAUACCCGGGUAGUC
rnacentral:rRNA from 1 species